rnacentral:misc_RNA from 1 species
UACAGGGGGUGCAAGCGUUAAUCGGAAUUACUGGGCGUAAAGCGGGCGUAGGUGGUUUGUGAAGUUGGAUGUGAAAGCCCCGGGCUCAACCUGGGAACGACAUCCAAAACUGGCAAGCUAGAGUGCGGUAGAGGGUGGUGGAAUUUCCUGUGUAGCGGUGAAAUGCGUAGAUAUAGGAAGGAACACCAGUGGCGAAGGCGGCCACCUGGACUGAUACUGACACUGAGGUGCGAAAGCGUCGGGAGCAAACAGG